rnacentral:rRNA from 1 species
CCGCAAGGCUAAAACCCAAAGGAAUUGACGGGGGCUUACACAAGCGGUGGGGCAUGUGGUUUAAUUCGAAACAACGCGCAAAACCUUACCAAUCCUUGACAUAUGAAAAACCAGGGUGUUUACCCGCUCUGUCUCUUUUAUACAGGUGCUGCAUGGCUGUCGUCAGUUCGUGGUGUGAGCUGUUGGGUUAAGUCCCAGAACGAACGCAACCCUCCUUUGAAAUGAAGGUUUACCUUUUUCAAAGACUGCCAAGGAUAUCUUGGAGGAAGGUGAGGAUGACGUCAAGUCCGCAUGGCCCUUAUGGGUUGGGCUACACACGUGCUACAAUGGGAAUGACAAAAGGAGGCAACAUGGCAACAUUGAGCAAAUCCCAAAAAGUUUCCUUAGUUCGGAUUGUUCUCUGCAACUCGAGAACAUGAAGUUGGAAUCGCUAGUAAUCGUAGAUCAGCACGCUACGGUGAAUUUGUAUCUAAGCCUUGUACACACCGCCCGUCACACUCUGAAAAUUUUCAUGCCUUGAAGCAAAAGAAGUUCACCAAGAACACACAGCGCAACUAAAAAAAAACAUCUUCCCUUUUUUUUUCUGUGUCUUUGUUGGAACCUUUUCUAGAGUUAGGGAGGUGAUUGGAGUG